rnacentral:rRNA from 1 species
GUCUACGGCCAUACCACCCUGAACGCGCCCGAUCUCGUCUGAUCUCGGAAGAAGUUUGGGAUCUGGCAAGAUGGCUCAGCAGAUAAAGAUGUGCCUGAUGACCGAAGUUU